UACGUAGGGGGCAAGCGUUGUCCGGAAUUAUUGGGCGUAAAGGGCGCGUAGGCGGUUUGCUAAGUCAGUUGUGAAAGCCCGGGGCUCAACCCCGGAGGGUCGGCUGAUACUGGUGGACUAGAGUACGGAAGAGGUAGCUGGAAUUCCCGGUGUAGCGGUGAAAUGCGUAGAGAUCGGGAGGAACACCCGUGGCGAAGGCGGCCACCUGGGCCGACCCUGACGCUGAGGCGCGAAGGCGUGGGGAGCGAACGGG
rnacentral:rRNA from 1 species